UUACAGCAAUUGUAACACUGGUUCUCAUCCAACCACCAAAGUUAAGCAAUGUUGAUCCUGGUCUGUACCUAGAUGGGUGACCACUAUGGAAUAACGGGUACUGUAA